rnacentral:lncRNA from 1 species
UUUGUGUUGGUGAUUGAUUACAUAAUUGAUGGCACUUCUGUUAGAUAAACCUGCCAAGUAUAAUAGUAUCUUAUGUUUUGAGCAAGGACAUUGCCAGGUUCUGAUACUAGAAUCUGCUGACUCAUGAAAAAAGAAGCUAGGUGAGAAUCUGUUUAAAAUUGAAGUGAUUAAAUGAAUUAAUUUCAGUUGUUAUGCACAUCCUUGUUUCUCCGAAGAACCUGGGAAGUUUUUUCUUGGGCCAGAAAACUAGCAGCACUGUACUUCGAUCAAUUCCCUUCCCCUUUCGCCGUAUUCAAUAGCUUAUUUGCACUGGCAUCGUAUUACCCAGAAGCAGGGUAUGAAGUGUGAGAAUGAAGACACAAGUCUUAUUUUUGCUAGACUGGGGACAAAGUGAGAUAACGGACAGGGGAUGGCAGGAAGGGGUGUGGUGUUGGGGGGGGGGGGGGGUUAUGCUGCACAGGGAUGGAUUGUUUGGAGGGGCAGAAUAAGUUUCUCUUUUAACACAUCACAAUUCAUAUACAAGAUGCUGUGACUUUUUAACGGUUUUUUGGGCGCAAUAUGUUAGUGAGGAGGCAAGUGCUACAGAAAAUGAGUUUGUUUCUAACUAUUGGUUGGAACCCAAAGUGUUAAAAUGCUAAUGCAUGUGAAGGUUGGGGUCCUCUUGUACUAUUUUCUCGUUAAGUUACGUUAGUUUUGUCAUGGAUCCUUUCCAGAAGGUAUCGAUCAUUGCUUCUGUAACUAUAGCAAAUCUGCAGUAAGCAGUCCAAUAAAAUGUCGUAGUAUGUAGAGCAUGUUUGGGAGUGCUUAUAGCUCAUUAACGGGGCUUAUACUGGCAGCAUCGAUGUUCAAAUUUUUUUUUUUUGCCUUGAGUGGCUUCGUGUGAGGCCUUCCUUAGGAACUUCAAAGCUUGUGCUCCGUAACCUAAGUUUUACAAUGUGGUUUUGCUUUUUGGGUCUUUCCAUUUGCUUCCUUCCUUUACAACCUUUUGGGCUCGACUGGAAUGUUGUAAGGAUUUCUUGUUUUUUUUUUGUAUAAUUCUAUCUUGGUCUAGGUAGAAACUUUUAAGGCUGACUCCACACUUUAACUUGCAUUCCGGUUUUUUAAGGAUUUCCUAUUCCUGGCAUAGCAAGGACUAUCGAUUCUCCAUCCUGUAUAAUGAAUACUCCCCUUUCUCUCGACAGAAACAAUAUACGAAUUUUUUAGCACUUAACCACAUUUAUGUUAUGGAUUUCAUUGUUCAAAAAAAGUCAAUAAGCAAACAACGAAUCCAUGGGUAUUCGAACUUGGGUAUCAGGAAUAAGCAGAAUAUUUGAUGGGAGAUAAAGUUGCACAAAGGUUUAGAAUUUUAAUCAAUUAGUUCUCGCAUCUAGAUAAAAUAAAGUGUUAAGUACACUAGUGAGGGGAUAUGAUGCCUUGCCGUACCUCUGGAUUUACACGAGGAGAAGAGAACAAGCUUAUCAAGGAAAUAAAACUUGGGUUUCUAAUCCUGGAUUCGUUAUUAUGUGAGCCCCGCUUUAUGCAUUAAGUAGAAAUACUGGCCUCUUUCUUAACUUUAAAAUCACAAGGCAUAUUUUAUAUGUUCGACUAGACAUGACUGAAUAUCGUCAAUGGUAAGUCCUAAAAUUUAAUUAUAUAUAUGCAUGAGUUCUAUUUUUGUUUGUAGAUGACAGCGUCCAUUAGGAGCAUGGUGAUAAGGGCUACUCCACCUGUUACAAACUUCCACCAGGGAAAAUUCCAGCUCCUUUGAGCCUUGAGACGGUUCAUAGGUCUAUUCAUGGUGGCUUCGUCUGUUUGAGUAGGUGAAUGACAAGUUCAAGUAAUAAAAGGUUCGUAGGUCUAGAACUCCCUUGUCCUUUCGGUCGAGAAAGAUCGGAUUACUCCAGUGUUGAGGAGGUACUCUAAAUACAAACGUUUAUAGAUCAUGGUUCACCUUUAUUUGUACAAAGAAGCAUAGGACUAUUAUAUUAUUCGUCAAUCUCCCUCAAGUUAAGGAUUGAAAAAGUAAGAAUACUAUCGAAAUUUAUAUAACAAUAUUAUUUUUAAUAUCGAUUAAUUAUUUAGAGCAUUUUGUUUAUUGAAGUUAAAGCUCUGCUUUUUGGCCAAGCUCAAAGUCAAGCUAAAAAACAUUCAGCCCCUAUUGGCGUCUUGCUUGUUAGGGUACAGGCACCUCGCCGACAGGGGGUCGCCACGUUGGCCCCCUGUUUUUUGGCCUAGCCUUGAGCCUAGCCAAAUAGGGUUUUCUUUGAAAUUGUGAGUUUAUAAUUGUUGCUCAUAGCACUCCAUGUCGAUGAUGACAUAUUUAAAACAAGAAAGCUAGGAGCGUGUUAGUAUCUUAACAUAUCAAGCGGUCCCCUAUUUUUUGGCCUGGCCUUGAGCUUGGCCAAACAUGGUUUUCCUUGAAAUUGAGAGUUUAUAAUUGUUGCUCAUAGCACUUGAUGUGGCUUUCAGCCUGACCAAACAGGGGUUUCCUUGAAAUUGUGAGUUUAUAAUUGUUGCUCAUAGCACUUGAUGUAGAUGAUGACAUAAUUAAAACAAGAAAGCUAGGAGCGUGUUAGUGUCUUAAUAUAUGAAGCGACCCCCUGUUUUUGGCCUGGCCUUGAGCUUGACCAAGCAGGGUUUUCCUUGAAAUUGUGAGUUUAUAAUUAUUGCUCAUAGCACUUGAUGUAAAUAACGACAUAUUUAAAACAAGAAAGCUAGGAUCGUGUUAGUGACAUAUCAAC